UCUUAUGGUAAAGAAUCUGCCUGCAGUGCAGGAGACCCAGGUUCAAUCCCUGG
rnacentral:tRNA from 1 species